UGACACAGGAGCUUUGCCAGACCUGAGGGUU
rnacentral:piRNA from 1 species